rnacentral:rRNA from 1 species
CCUACGGGAGGCAGUAGUGAGGAAUAUUGGUCAAUGGGCGCAAGCCUGAACCAGCCAAGUCGCGUGAGGGAUGACGGUCCUAUGGAUUGUAAACCUCUUUUGUCGGGGAGCAAGGCCCGCCACGUGUGGCGGGAAGGAGAGUAACCGAAGAAAAAGCAUCGGCUUACUCCGUGCCAGCAGCCGCGGUAAUAAGGAGGAUGCGAGCGUUAUUCGGGUUUAUUGGGGUUAAAGGGUGCGUAAGCGGAAGGUUUAGUCAG